ensembl:lncRNA GMDS-DT GMDS divergent transcript
ACCGCCUCAGGGAAGAGGAAGGAGGCCGCGGCUUCGCGUCCCGCCUCUCGCCUGGCUGGCCGUGGGGGGCCUGGACGCAGUGGCCUCCCGAAUCUCCCAGGACCCUAAUAUCGCCCGAGGAUGCUGGGAGGAACGCUGAGCCGACCUCUCCGUUAGGCUGAAGAUUGCACAAACCAUGCUAAUGGCCAGCAUGGAUGGAGGGAGCGUGUGAGAUGUGUGGGGCAGCGUGCUGCAUCUCAGCCAACUCCAGGAGCCAGUUGAUGUGAUGGACUACCUUAAUUGAUUUUUGAAUGUUGAGCCAGCCUUAUGCAUGUGGGAUAAACCCCUGUUGAUCAUGGCUGGCUGGAGUGCAGUGGUGCAAUCAUGGCUCACUGCAACCUCAAAUUCCUGGGCUCAAGGGAUCCUCCUGCCUCAGCCUCCCAAGUAGCUAGGACUACAGAUGGAACGAAGUCUGUUUGUGGAAACACCCUUCCCCUCUGUUUACUUGGACCUGAUUUUGAAAGUAACAAGUCACUUUAUUUGGGCUGGAGGAAAAAGCACUAAACCAGAUGUUGAGGUGACCGGGAUUCCUGGAAGACAUUCUUCUCUCCAACGAGACACAUGAUGCAUGAAGUAGGAGCCCCUGGCAAGGAGCCCAGGCUGCCAUGGCCUCGCUCGCUCCUGCUUCCCGGCAUGGCCCCGAGGCUAGCUGCCUCUGUACUGCCUGAGCAUCGUCCCCUGGCGUGUCACCAGACUACCCACUACCUGUGCUUGCACCUGCAGGUGGGCAGUUCAGUCGUUGCAGGCUGAAGCUCCCUGUCACAGGAGUCCAUCAGCACUGGAGUUUACCAAAUGGCCCAGUCCAGGAAGCAUGCUCAUGGCAAUACCCGGAGUCUCCACUGCAAGACCAGAGUGACGGAGGCAGCAGAGCUCCUCAGCAGGCCAGGAGUCUCCAGAGGCACUGCCGAAUGUCUAAGAAGCAACCUCAUUGUAUUCCCAAGACCUGGGAAUCCAGGUCUCGCAGAUACGAUGAUACAAUCUAUAGCCAGGACAUCUCUUCAUGUGUAGUUUUCAAUGAAUACUAGGAUAAGCAACUAUCCCAGUCUUCCCAGGAUUGAGGGGCUUCUCCAGAUGCUGCACUUCUGGUGCUAAAAAUGAGAAACUGAAAUGAAUUAGUCACCCAAGGAAUGCUGACCCUGUGCUAUAUGAUCACAUUUACUCUUUAAAGCAAUGCUUUGAGGUAGGUAAUAUUAUUUCCAUUUUAAAUAAUUUAUAAAUAAGAGAUAAAGUGUGAUUCCCAAGGCCAUUAUCCAGUAAGUGAUAGAGACUGGGUUUAGGUUAUAUUGUCUGAUUUAAAGCCAGUAUAUUUGUUAUCUGCAUAAUAAAUUACUCCAAAUCUUGGGCUUAAACCAACAAUACGAGUUUAUUAAUCCAUAGUUUCUGUGGAUCAGAAGUUGAGGAGCAGUUUAGCUGGAUGGUUCUGGCUCAGGAUCUCUCAUGAUAGGAUCUCUCCUCAUAGUAUUGGGGGCUGUGGUCAUCUGAAGGCCUGACUGGGGCUGGAGGACCUGACUUCAGGAUGGUGCACUCACAUGGCUGCUGGCAGGGAACUACACAAGAGACAGGCUACCAUAGUGACUGUGUAUCUGAUGCUUCCACAGCUACCCCUUAGGACUCUAAGUCCUAGAAUUGGGACUAGAAGUGGGGAUUAAAGGGAUUCCAUAGGAUGAGAUUGACUAAAAAUAUAUAUACAUGAAUAGGCAUACACAGGAAUAUUCAUUAUAUGUGUAAAUACCAUCAUUUGUAUUCAGGCACACCUUGUUUUAUUGUGGCUUUAUUGCACUUCACAGAUAUUGUAUUUUUUUUAGAAAUUGAAGGUUUGUGACAACCCUGUGUUGAGCAAGUCUAUCAGCACUGUUUUUCCAACAGCAUGUGCUCACUUUGUGUCUCUGUGUCACAUUUUGGUAACUCUUACAAUAUUUUGAACGUUUUUAUGACUAUUAUAUCUGUUGUGGUAAUCUGUGAUCUUUGAUGUUACUAUUGUAAUUGUUUUGGAGCUUCAUGAACCAUGCCCAUAUAAGAUGGCAAAUUUAAUUGAUAAA